rnacentral:rRNA from 1 species
UGGGGAAUUUUGGACAAUGGGCGAAAGCCUGAUCCAGCAAUGCCGCGUGUGUGAAGAAGGCCUUCGGGUUGUAAAGCACUUUUGUCCGGAAAGAAAUCCUUGGCUCUAAUACAGUCGGGGGAUGACGGUACCGGAAGAAUAAGCACCGGCUAACUACGUGCCAGCAGCCGCGGUAAUACGUAGGGUGCAAGCGUUAAUCGGAAUUACUGGGCGUAAAGCGUGCGCAGGCGGUUUGCUAAGACCGAUGUGAAAUCCCCGGGCUCAACCUGGGAACUGCAUUGGUGACUGGCAGGCUAGAGUAUGGCAGAGGGGGGUAGAAUUCCACGUGUAGCAGUGAAAUGCGUAGAGAUGUGGAGGAAUACCGAUGGCGAAGGCAGCCCCCUGGGCCAAUACUGACGCUCAUGCACGAAAGCGUGGGGAGCAAAACAGGAUUAGAUACCCUGGUAGUCCACGCCCUAAAACGAUGUCAACUAGUUGUUGGGGAUUCAUUUCCUUAGUAACGUAGCUAACGCGUGAAGUUGACCGCCUGGGGAGUACGGUCGCAAGAUUAAAACUCAAAUGAAUUGACGGGGUCAUAGC